GUGCACAUUUCAUUGACCUGCUCUCAUUGCAUUGAUAGCAGUGUUAUUUCUGAUGUGCUAAACAAACAGGUGAAGGUUAAUUAGCAGCAUAACUAUAUGCAGUUAGUGUUGCCAGUCCCCUUCAGACAAAA
rnacentral:snoRNA from 1 species